rnacentral:rRNA from 1 species
UAAGUAAAGCACAGGGACGCUUCAGAAGUGUUACGCCGGGCGAUGGUAGCCCCGGUUGUAAAGGACACAAUUGAGUGGAAGGUAACAUGGAUGGAGACAAGAAAAGCUGUGUGUAUCUGGAAGGAGCCCGUACCGCAAACCGACACAGGUAGAUAGGAAGAAGAUUCUAAGGCCAGCGGGAGAAGGGUUGUUAAGGAACUCGGCAAGUUGACCCCGUAACUUCGGGAGAAGGGGUGCUUACGAAGGUAAGCCGCAGAGAAUAGGCCCAAGCGACUGUUUAGCAAAAACACAGCUCUAUGCUAAAUCGAAAGAUGACGUAUAUGGGGUGACACCUGCCCGGUGCUGGAAGGUUAAGAGGAGAUGUGAGAGCAUUGAAUUGAAGCCCCAGUAAACGGCGGCCGUAACGAUAACGGUCCUAAGGUAGCGAAAUUCCUUGUCAGGUAGGUUCUGACCCGCACGAAUGGUGUAACGAUUUGGGCACUGUCUCAACAACCUACCCGGCGAAAUUGUAGUACCGGUGAAGAUGCCGGUUACCCGCGACUAGACGGAAAGACCCCAUGGAGCUUCACUGUAGCUCAAUAUUGAAUUUUGGUAUUUCAUGUACAGGAUAGGUGGGAGACUGGGAAAUACAGGCGUCAGCUUGUAUGGAGUCACUGUUGGGAUACCACUCUUGAGGUGCUGAAAUUCUAACCUGCGUCUUUGAAUCAAGACGGGGGACAUUGUUAGGUGGGCAGUUUGACUGGGGCGGUCGCCUCCAAAAGAGUAACGGAGGCGCUCAAAGGUUCGCUCAGCAUGGACGGAAACCAUGCCAAAGAGUGCAAACGCAAAAGCGAGCCUAACUGCGAGACUGACGGGUCGAGCAGUAACGAAAGUUGGAGUUAGUGAUCCGGCGGUAUGUGAGUGGAAAUGCCGUCGCUCAACGGAUAAAAGCUACCCUGGGGAUAACAGGCUGAUCUCCCCCAAGAGUCCACAUCGACGGGGAGGUUUGGCACCUCGAUGUCGGCUCAUCGCAUCCUGGGGCUGAAUUCGGUCCCAAGGGUUUGGCUGUUCGCCAAUUAAAGCGGUACGCGAGCUGGGUUCAGAACGUCGUGAGACAGUUCGGUCCCUAUCUGUCGUGGGCGUAGGAUAUUUGAAAGGAGCUGUCCCUAGUACGAGAGGACCGGGAUGGACGCACCUCUGGUGAACCAGUUGUCACGCCAGUGGCACGGCUGGGCAGCUAAGUGCGGAACGGAUAAACGCUGAAAGCAUCUAAGCGUGAAGCCGACCUUAAGAUAAGAUAUCCGUUCUUCGGAAUAAGACCCCUUGUAGACUACGAGGUUGAUAGGCUUAAAGUGUAAGCAUGGUGACAUGUUUAGCUUGCAAGUACUAAUCGGUCGAUUGCUUUU